UUAUUUAACAGGAACCUAAGUGUGGCUAU
rnacentral:piRNA from 1 species